rnacentral:rRNA from 1 species
AGAUUCAAACUCGUACCUUUUGCAUCAUGAUUUAGCUAGAAAACCUCAAGCAAUGAGCACUUUAGUUUGACCCCCCGAAACUACGUGAGCUACUCCAAGACAGCCUAACAACUAGGGCAAACCCGUCUCUGUGGCAAAAGAGUGGGAAGAUCUUUGAGUAGAGGUGACAGACCUAUCGAACCUAGUUAUAGCUGGUUGCCUGAGAAAUGAAUAGAAGUUCAGCCUCUCGGAUUCUCCCGUCACCCCACCUCCCUCCCCCCGACAAUUAAAAGAAACCGAAAGAGUUAGUCAAAGGGGGUACAGCCCCUUUGACACAAGAUACAACUUUUCCAGGAGGGUUAAGAUCACAAUUCAACACCAAGGUAAAAUGUUUAGGUGGGCCUAAAAGCAGCCACCCCAUAGAAUGCGUUAAAGCUCAAACAUAACCACCACCCCCAAUCCUGAUAAUCUUAUCUUAACCCCCUAACCCUACCAGGCCGUUCCAUGCAAACAUGGAAGCGACCAUGCUAAUAUGAGUAAUAAGAGAAUAGUCAUCUCUCUCCUUGCACAAG